rnacentral:lncRNA from 1 species
UUCCAUCAAUCCCCUAAAUCCAAUGAUAUUAACUUGACAAAGUCAAAUAAACCUUGACCAAGGCCCAACAACAAGAGUCAAACACAAACAAGUCAUCACAAUUGGUCAACAAAAUUAUUUGGAAUUUAUUCAAAUUAAAAAUACAAAAAUAAUACAUUUAAAUUAAAUAUGGUUUGUCAAAUUCCUAAAACCUCAUCAAAACACCAAAUAAAUG